CGUAGGCGGUCUUUUAAGUCAGGUGUGAAAGCCCGGGGCUUAACCCCGGAAGUGCACUUGAAACUAAGAGACUUGAGUAUGGGAGAGGGAAGUGGAAUUCCUGGUGUAGCGGUGAAAUGCGUAGAUAUCAGGAGGAACAUCAGUGGCGAAGGCGACUUCCUGGACCAAUACUGACGCUGAGGCGCGAAGGCGUGGGGAGCAAACA
rnacentral:rRNA from 1 species